UACGUUUGGUGGAUCGCAUAGCAGUGGGAAUGCAACACCCCCUUCUCCUAUUGCUAGCCCUGGGACUCCAGCUAAAGGGUAUUCUUGUUUUACCUGUUCUCGAUGUGUGCACAUCUUGUUUGUUUUGUUUCCAUGUCAUUGCCUAAUUUAUUGUUUCCCACAUCAGUUCGUCUGCCCCUAAGCGUGGCACGAAGCGUUCUUUGUUUUCAAGCCCUCCGAAACGGAACACACAGUUGGCUGAUGCUUGUGCCGCCGCAGCUGAAGAAGAGCCAGCGACGUUGGUUGAGCCUGUGGAAGAUGAUGGUAUAACCACUGAUGUAGAGAAAAACGGACCGCCUCCAAACCCAAAAUCUAAGAGGAACGCCAAUUCUGCGAAGUC